rnacentral:rRNA from 1 species
GUCCACGCCCUAAACGAUGCAUACUAGGUGCAGGGAGAAUCGACCCUUUCUGUGCCGUAGCUAACGCGUUAAGUAUGCCGCCUGGGAAGUACGAUCGCAAGAUUAAAACUCAAAGGAAUAGACGGGGAUCCGCACAAGUGGUGGAGCAUGUGGUUUAAUUCGACGGUAAACGAGACACCUCACCAAGGUUUGAAAUCUAGCUGGAGAUCUUAGAAAUAAGAAGUCCUUCGAGGCCGCUAGACCAGGUGCUGCAUGGUUGUCGU